rnacentral:rRNA from 1 species
GAUGAACGCUGGCGGCGUGCCUAAUACAUGCCAGUCGAGCGAACGGACGAGAAGCUUGCUUCUCUGGUGUUAGCGGCGGACGGGUGAGUAACACGUGGAUAACCUACCUAUAAGACUGGGAUAACUUCGGGAAACCGGAGCUAAUACCGGAUAAUAUUUUGAACCGCAUGGUUCAAAAGUGAAAGACGGUCUUGCUGUCACUUAUAGAUGGAUCCGCGCUGCAUUAGCUAGUUGGUAAGGUAACGGCUUACCAAGGCAACGAUGCAUAGCCGACCUGAGAGGGUGAUCGGCAACACUGGAAAUGAGACACGGUACAGACUCCUAAGGGAGGCAGCAGUAGGGAAUCUUCCGCAAUGGGAGAAAGCAUGACGGAGCAACGCAGCGUGAGUGAUGAAGGCCUUCGGAUCGUAAAACUCUGUUAUUAGGGAAGAACAUAUGUGUAAGUAACUGUGCACAUCUUGACGGUACCUAAUCAGAAAGCCACGGCUAACUACGUG